UUUAAAUUAUUCUUUGACAUUUCACAAAAGAACUAAAACCUAUAAAGUAAUUAUUUGGCUUGUAUUUCCUAGACUCAUUUGUCAAAAAUUAGUAGUCUUCUCUUGGAGAGCAUAUCUGUAAGCCCUCGACUUCAGACAUACAUUCUGUAAGUGCUUCUACAGAUGCUUGAUAUGCUAGAAUGAGCUUUUUUUCAGUGGUCUUGGGGUGGGUUUUUUUUUUUAUUGGCUUAUAAGACUGGAGAGAUCAAGUUAUUGGAGUUCAUUAUCCUCAAGUUAUUCUAAUUCAAAAUUAUGCUAAAACUAAAGAAGCAGAUUUAUGCACUUAGCAUGUGCAUGAAACAGUUUGGCACUGACCAGUAUAUAGAGGAAAAACAGUGUCUGAAGUCAAGAAUGGCUCAUCAAAUCUUGAAUGCUGAAGUAUGGCUUUUAUGGAUCCCUUUCUUUCUAGUGAGGCCAUCUUGAUCCUUCUCAUCAGGCAGCUAAUUUAGCCCUUCAAUUAGUUCUACUAACAAAUAUGGACAGUUAUGAUACAUAUAAGUAAAGCUGUAUGUGAAUUUCAAGCUGUUUAAUUAUGUGCAAUAUAGAUUAUAUAGUCACUCAUCCUGUAAACCAAUUAUUGGCUGU
rnacentral:lncRNA from 1 species